UAGGGAAUCUUCCGCAAUGGACGCAAGUCUGACGGAGCAACGCCGCGUGAGUGAUGAAGGUUUUCGGAUCGUAAAGCUCUGUUGCCCUAGACGAACAGCAUCAGGAGUAACUGCCUGGUGUGUGACGGUAUAGGAGAAGAAAGCCCCGGCUAACUACGUGCCAGCAGCCGCGGUAAUACGUAGGGGGCAAGCGUUGUCCGGAAUUAUUGGGCGUAAAGCGCGCGCAGGCGAAUCG
rnacentral:rRNA from 1 species